rnacentral:rRNA from 1 species
CAGGCCUAACACAUGCAAGUCGAGCGGACUUAUCCUUCGGGAUAGGUUAGCGGCGGACGGGUGAGUAACACGUAGGCAACCUGCCUGUAAGAUCGGGAUAACUACCGGAAACGGUAGCUAAGACCGGAUAGCUGGUUUCUCCGCAUAGGGGAAUCAUGAAACACGGGGCAACCUGUGGCUUACGGAUGGGCCUGCGGCGCAUUAGCUAGUUGGUGGGGUAACGGCCCACCAAGGCGACGAUGCGUAGCCGACCUGAGAGGGUGAUCGGCCACACUGGGACUGAGACACGGCCCAGACUCCUACGGGAGGCAGCAGUAGGGAAUCUUCCGCAAUGGGCGCAAGCCUGACGGAGCAACGCCGCGUGAGUGAUGAAGGUUUUCGGAUCGUAAAGCUCUGUUGCCAAGGUAGAACGCCUCGGAGAGUAACUGCUCUGAGGGUGACGGUACUUGAGAAGAAAGCCCCGGCUAACUACGUGCCAGCAGCCGCGGUAAUACGUAGGGGGCAAGCGUUGUCCGGAAUUAUUGGGCGUAAAGCGCGCGCAGGCGGUCUUUUAAGUUUGGUGUUUAAGCCCGGGGCUCAACCCCGGUUCGCACUGAAAACUGGGAGACUUGAGUGCAGGAGAGGAAAGCGGAAUUCCACGUGUAGCGGUGAAAUGCGUAGAGAUGUGGAGGAACACCAGUGGCGAAGGCGGCUUUCUGGACUGUAACUGACGCUGAGGCGCGAAAGCGUGGGGAGCAAACAGGAUUAGAU